AUGGCUCAGGAUGAACGCUAGCGAUAGGCCUAACACAUGCAAGUCGAGGGCGAGCACAUGAGUAGCAAUACGAUGGUGGCGACCGGCGCACGGGUGAGUAACACGUAUGCAACCUACCUUAACAGGGAAUAACCCGUGAAAACGGACUAAUACUCCAUGACACGGGGUCCGCAUGGGAAUAUUUGUUAAAGAUUUAUCGGUUGAAGAUGGCAUGCGUUCCAUUAGCUUGUUGGUGAGGUAACGGCUCACCAAGGCUACGAUGGAUAGGGGAACUGAGAGGUUUAUCCCCCACACUGGAACUGAGACACGGUCCAGACUCCUACGGGAGGCAGCAGUGAGGAAUAUUGGUCAAUGGAGGCAACUCUGAACCAGCCAAGUCGCCGUGAAGGAUGAAGGUCUUAUGGAUUGUAAACUUCUUUUGCAAGGGAAUAAAGUGGGGGACGUGUCCUCCUUUGCAUGUACCUUGCGAAUAAGGAUCGGCUAACUCCGUGCCAGCCGCAGC
rnacentral:rRNA from 1 species